rnacentral:rRNA from 1 species
UACGUAGGGUGCAAGCGUUGUCCGGAAUUAUUGGGCGUAAAGAGCGUGUAGGCGGCCCGAUUAGUCCGCUGUGAAAGUCCAGGGCUCAACCCUGGAAUGCCGGUGGAUACUGUCGGGCUAGAGUCCGGAAGGGGCGAGUGGAAUUCCUGGUGUAGCGGUGAAAUGCGCAGAUAUCAGGAGGAACACCGGUGGCGAAGGCGGAUCUCUGGGCCGAUACUGACGCUGAGGAGCGAAAGCGUGGGGAGCGAACAGG